rnacentral:rRNA from 1 species
GAAUAUUGGACAAUGGGCGAAAGCCUGAUCCAGCCAUGCCGCGUGUGUGAAGAAGGUCUUCGGAUUGUAACGCACUUUAAGUUGGGAGGAAGGGCAGUAAGCGACUACCUUGCUGUUUUUACGUUACCGACAGCAUAAGCACCGGCCAACUCUGUGCCAGCAGCCGCGGUAAUACAGAGGGUGCAAGCGUAAAUCGGAAUUACUGGGCUUAAAGCGGGCGUAGGUGGUUCUUUAAGUUGGAUGUGAAAUCCCCGGGCUCAACCUGGGAACUGCAUCAAAAACUGGCGAGCUAGAGUAGGGCAGAGGGUGGUGGAAUUUCCUGUGUAGCGGUGAAAUGCGUAGAUAUAGGAAGGAACACCAGUGGCGAAGGCGACCACCUGGGCUCAUACUGACACUGAGGUGCGAAAGCGUGGGGAGCAAACA